rnacentral:rRNA from 1 species
GGAUAACCUACCUAUAAGACUGGGAUAACUUCGGGAAACCGGAGCUAAUACCGGAUAACAUGUUGAACCGCAUGGUUCAACAGUGAAAGACGGUCUUGCUGUCACUUAUAGAUGGAUCCGCGCCGCAUUAGCUAGUUGGUAAGGUAACGGCUUACCAAGGCAACGAUGCGUAGCCGACCUGAGAGGGUGAUCGGCCACACUGGAACUGAGACACGGUCCAGACUCUUACGGGAGGCAGCAGUAGGGAAUCUUCCGCAAUGGGCGAAAGCCUGACGGAGCAACGCCGCGUGAGUGAUGAAGGUCUUCGGAUCGUAAAACUCUGUUAUUAGGGAAGAACAAAUGUGUAAGUAACUAUGCACGUCUUGACGGUACCUAAUCAGAAAGCCACGGCUAACUACGUGCCAGCAGCCGCGGUAAUACGUAGGUGGCAAGCGUUAUCCGGAAUUAUUGGGCGUAAAGCGCGCGUAGGCGGUUUUUUAAGUCUGAUGUGAAAGCCCACGGCUCAACCGUGGAGGGUCAUUGGAAACUGGAAAACUUGAGUGCAGAAGAGGAAAGUGGAAUUCCAUGU